UACGUAGGGGGCAAGCGUUGUCCGGAAUCAUUGGGCGUAAAGCGCGCGUAGGCGGCCCGGUAAGUCCGCUCUGAAAGCCCCGGGCUCAACCUGGGAAUUGCAUUUGAGACUGCGUAGCUAGGGUGCGGAAGAGGGAAGCGGAAUUUCCGGUGUAGCGGUGAAAUGCGUAGAUAUCGGAAGGAACACCAGUGGCGAAAGCGGCUUCCUGGUCCAGCACCGACGUCAGGCACGAAAGCGUGGGGAGCAAACAGGG
rnacentral:rRNA from 1 species